GCCCAUAUAGCUCAGCUGGAAGAGCGCACGACUGAAGAUCGUGCGGUCCCCUGUUCGAGCCAGGGUGUGGGCA
rnacentral:tRNA from 1 species